ensembl:lncRNA
CCCAAAUCAGGCAGGUUCAAAAACAACCCACAAAAUUUCUACGCUAUGAAAUCUCUUAAAGAUUUCUUUUUUCAUAUUUUAAUUAAGCACAUGCAGUCCAACCCCAAGAAUGAAAAAGGUUCUAUUUGUCACAGGAAAUUUUGAAAAGCCAACAAAAGGAUUUCCAGUGGCAGGCAGCCAGCAAGGAAACCUGAUCUCGAUUCUAAACACUGCUCUCCUGGCUCCGUUCAUCCCUUGGCAGGAAGGAAGGCAGGAGCAAACAUCUUGGACAACAGGGCUGCACAACAUCAGGCAUCAGGAGCAGGGAGGGGAAGGAAACUGCAGCAGGCACUCCUGAGGGACUGAAGAGCAAUGACGGCUUCUAUCUGAAGAAUGCUGAGAAAAUCUAAAAAGUUAUUUUAAAGCUUCUGAAGAAUUAAUAGAACGAUGUACGUAAACGUCCUCUCAGAAAUAUCAGAAUCCAGGGUGGGGUUUUACAGAAGUUGGAGAGGUACGAGAACUGAGGCUGAUGGCUGACUACAAUGAUUUUUUUUCCUAUAUUUCAUUGAAUCACAGAAUGGCCUGAGUUAAAAAGGAUUUCAAAGACCAUCUAGUUUCAAGCCCCCUGCUUUGGGCAUGGCCACCAACCACCAGACAGGGAGCACAUUUGCCCCUUGUUUUCACACUGGGAGUUGCAUAUUUGUAACUGAGGGAAGAACUGAGUGCAGUGUUAACAACGUUAGGUAAAUAAUGUUGCUAUUAGAUUUUUAGAACCUGUUCUUUCUUUCUUUUUUUUUUAACGUGUUAUGUAAUCACUCCUCUAAUGAGCGUUCGGCCAAUAAAGGUGAAACAAGUUGCUAA